rnacentral:misc_RNA from 1 species
CCGAGUUUACAACUCCCAAACCCCUGUGAACAUACCUACACGUUGCCUCGGCGGAUCAGCCCGCGCCCCGUAAAAAGGGACGGCCCGCCCGAGGACCCCUAAACUCUGUUUUUAGUGGAACUUCUGAGUAAAACAAACAAAUAAAUCA